CGUAUUGUUACUAAGCUGUUUGUUGUUUAAAGCCCUUGUUCAAUUUAUAUAAAUACACGGUUUGUAAUCUUGACAAUCAUCAAAUAGAAAGCAUGCAUUUCAUAGCCUCAUCAAAUCCAAGAAGCUGCCUAAUCUCCAUCUUUAUCAUAGCAAGCAGCAACCACUCUCAAACUCGUAUCUCGGGGGCCAAGUUUUCUUCAGGAAGGGAAAAUAAGUUCCAUUGUUGCAGUCUUGCAGAUGCUGUUGACUACAAAGGGCACCCUGCUGACAAGUCCAAAACUGAUGGUUGGCUUACCGCCGCGCUUAUAAUGGGUGUGUGUGUAGUGUUCUUGUUUUCGUCUAUGAACAAGUAGAAGGUUCAUACAAAUUAAGAAGUUGAAUUAUGUGAUAGGCUUAAACUACGGGAAUAGCAGUGAACCUGAUGGAGACUUUGAGGACAGAAAUGCCAUCGAGGCUGUCUCGGAAGCUAAGAGACCAGUUACAAAGGUGGAGGAGGUGAAAAUGAUGAUAAGACUACUUUCCACAUGGGCCACAACCAUCAUAUUUUGGACUUGUUAUGCACAGAUGAUGACCUUCUCACUCAGUACAACAAGCAUCCACUAUUGGAAGCUUUCAAAUCCCCGCUGCCUCUCGCACUUCUUUGUGUUAGCCAUUAUGAAUCUAUGAUCACUCUGGCUUUCAAUGACCGUGUCAUCAUACCUCUCUGGAAGAAAGGGAAAGGCCAACCAGGUUUCACCCAUCUAUAGAGAAUGGCAAUUGGGCUUGUGCUAUCAACUAUUGGGAUGGGAGCAGCAGCACUCUGUGAGAGGAAGAGGUUAGCAGUGGCUAAAGCCAAUGGUGGACCAAAUCCUCUGCAUAUUAGUGUUUUCUUCUUGCUCCCAAGUAAGUUCAUUCUGGUGGGUUCUGCUAAUGCUUUUGUAUACACCGGCCAGCUCGAUUUCUUCAUAACCGGAUCGCCUAAAGGAAUGAAAACUAUGAGCACAGGCCUCUUCGCCAGCACAUUGUCCUUUGGUUUCUUCUUUAGCAGCCUCUUGGUAUCGAUUGUGAAUAAGGUGACAGGAGGCAAAGAUGGAUAGCUUGCGAGCAGCAUAAACAAUGAGAGGCUUGACACCUACUUCGGCUGCUAAUGCUUACCCUGCUGAGGAUAAGUGCUAGUUGCUAAUUAUAGUUGAACAGAUAUCACUGCAUGUGGCUUUUUUUUGUUCCCACAAUGCACCGCAUUUUUUUAUAGCAAAAGAUACUUCAAAGAAAGCUGUAUUUCAUCAUACAUGCCUAUUUCCUAAUGUUGGAGCUGGUUCUUCACAAGACAGGUUUGAAAAUUGGCCAUGCAAAGAGCUUCCUCUGGUUUGCCUGUCGUUAAUUAAUGGCCAUUGAGAAAGCGAUUUCAUCCCUUUCUUUGUCAUUGAUCACAAAGGAAUUGAUGUUCUGUUUUAUAUUUCUGUCCAAUCUGUAAUUUGCUCCUGUCACAGUAUAAUUUCUCUUUGACAUUUUUAUUAUCAGAAAGCUUAUGCGCUUUUCAUUCAGUCAAAACAUGAGCGCCAUCAUUCUCAUCUAAUUCCUCCGUGAUUUGGGGGAGGAGAAGCAAAUCCCUCGCCAACAUAAAACAGGCGUCCUUUUUUCAAAGCUCAAAUGCAGCGUGGCAUCAAAAGGACUCAAACUGUCAAUUUUUGUUAGCAGUAACUUAGGAAAAGGAGGGUGUUUCUCACUUCAGCUGCUAAUGCAAAAAGACCAAACUUGCCAAAAGACUGAGUCCUGACUAAAAGACUCCCAAUACAAAAAUUCAAAGUAAAUGGCCUUAUGCAUCAGUUAUCAAUCCAAAGUAGUUCAAAGUAUAGCGUGUAACCGACAGUAAUGCAUCAGUUAAAUUCUUCUUCCAAACCGUCUCAAAGCAUCAAAACUGUUUGCCAGAUCAGACAGCUCUCGCUUAAAGAAAAUGAUUAGUUUAGACUUUACACAAAAGUUCCAGAUCACUUUUUUACAAUUUUUU